rnacentral:rRNA from 1 species
AACGAACGCUGGCGGCAUGCCUAACACAUGCAAGUCGAACGAGACGGCCGGGCCUAGUGGCGCACGGGUGCGUAACGGGUGGGAACCUGCGCUGAGGUUCGGAAUAACUCCCCGGAAGGAGUGCUAGUACCGGAGACUAUUUUCGGACCAAAGAUUUAUCGCCUUUGGAUGGGGCCGCGUUGUAUUUGCUAGUGGGUAGGGCAAAAGCCUACCAAGGCGACGAGCCAUAACUGGUCUGUGAGGAUGAACAGCCACACUGGGACUGAGACACGGCCCAGACUCGUGCGAGCAGCAGCAGUAGGUGCUAUUGGAGCGUGGGCCAGAGGCUGCUACAGCACGUCCGCGUGGGUGAUGAACGGCUUAGGGUCGUCAAGCUCUUUUACCGGAGAUGAUAAUGACAGUACCGGGAGAAGAAGCUCCGGCUAACUACGUG